CCUACGGGUGGCAGCAGUAGGGAAUCUUCCACAAUGGGCGAAAGCCUGAUGGAGCAACGCCGCGUGGGUGAAGAAGGUCUUCGGAUCGUAAAACUCUGUUGUCAGAGAAGAAAGUGCGUGAGAGUAACUGUUCACGUUUCGACGGUAUCUAACCAGAAAGCCACGGCUAACUACGUGCCAGCAGCCGCGGUAAUACGUAGGUGGCAAGCGUUAUCCGGAUUUAUUGGGCGUAAAGGGAACGCAGGCGGUCUGUUAAGUCUGAGGUGAAAGCCUUCGGCUUAACCGGAGUAGUGCAUUGGAAACUGGGAGACUUGAGGGCAGGAGAGGAUAGUGGAACUCCAUGUGUAGCGGUGAAAUGCGUAGAUAUAUGGAGGAACACCAGUGGCGAAGGCGGCUCUCUGGUCUGUAACUGACGCUGAGGUUCGAAAGCGUGGGUAGCAAACAGGAUUAGAUACCCUGGUAGUC
rnacentral:rRNA from 1 species